rnacentral:rRNA from 1 species
CCGGUGAUCCAGCCGGACCUGACUGCUAUCGGAUUGAUACUAAGCCAUGCGAGUCAUUGUAGCAAUACAAGGCAGACGGCUCAGUAACGCGUAGUCAACCUACCCUAUGGACGGGAAUAACCUCGGGAAACUGAGAAUAAUGCCCGAUAGAACACUAUACCUGGAAUGGUUUGUGUUCCAAAUGAUUUAUCGCCGUAGGAUGGGACUGCGGCCUAUCAGUUUGUUGGUGAGGUAAUGGCCCACCAAGACUAUUACAGGUACGGGCUCUGAGAGGAGCGGCCCGGAGAUGGGUACUGAGACACGGACCCAGGCCCUAUGGGGCGCAGCAGGCGAGAAAACUUUGCAAUGUGCGAAAGCACGACAAGGUUAAUCCGAGUGGUUUCUGCUAAAGGAACCUUUUGACAGUCCUAGAAACACUGUUGAAUAAGGGGUGGGCAAGUUCUGGUGUCAGCCGCCGCGGUAAAACCAGCACCUCAAGUGGUCAGGAUGAUUAUUGGGCCUAAAGCAUCCGUAGCCGGCUCUGUAAGUUUUCGGUUAAAUCUGUACGCUCAACGUACAGGCUGCUGGGAAUACUGCAGAGCUAGGGAGUGGGAGAGGUAGACGGUACUCGGGAGGAAGUGGUAAAAUGCUUUGAUCUCUCGAUGACCACCUGUGGCGAAGGCGGUCUACCAGAACACGUCCGACGGUGAGGGAUGAAAGCUGGGGGAGCAAACCGGAUUAGAUACCCGGGUAGUCCCAGCUGUAAACUAUGCAAACUCAGUGAUGCGUUGGCUUUUGGCCAGCGCAGUGUUGCAGGGAAGCCGUUAAGUUUGCCGCCUGGGAAGUACGUACGCAAGUAUGAAACUUAAAGGAAUUGGCGGGGGAGCACCACAAGGGGUGAAGCCUGCGGUUCAAUUGGAAUCAACGCCGGUAAUC